rnacentral:lncRNA from 1 species
CUUCAGUGACUGAUUGAUUGACCAGAACACUGCUGCUCAAGCAUAUGAGAGGAUAUAGAUCUGGCUGGACAAGUUUGCCAGCCCGACUCUAGAGAAAUCUCAGCUGAGAAAGUCUGCAAAGAAAUUUGGCUGUGUCUACCUUGGUCUUUACCUCAUUAUCAAUGAGCAGGGGCUAAUUUCUUCACCUGCAACCCUAUUGCACGGUCAUUAUCAGGACUGAGUCAAUAACUGCAAAACAUUUCAAAUAGAGCCACAUGGUAAGCACUCAGAAAAUGUUAGCUCUUCUUCCAAGCCAGAUACCAACUUCCAUUUACUUAUUCUGCAGGUUGGUAGUUUGGCCUGGGCUCAACUGGAUCGUUCUUCUGACAUUGGCUAGACUCGCUUUUGCAGCUGCAAGUCAGAUUUAGGCAGCUCUGCUUCUC